rnacentral:rRNA from 1 species
UAUGAAGGGGGCUAGCGUUGUUCGGAGUUACUGGGCGUAAAGGGCGCGUAGGCGGCGCACCAAGUCAGGCGUGAAAGCCCUGGGCUCAACCCGGGAAUUGCGCUUGAGACUGGUGUGCUCGAGUACGGGAGAGGAUAGUGGAAUUCCCAGUGUAGAGGUGAAAUUCGUAGAUAUUGGGAAGAACACCGGUGGCGAAGGCGGCUAUCUGGACCGUAACUGACGCUGAGGCGCGAAAGCGUGGGGAGCAAACAGGG